rnacentral:tRNA from 1 species
GCCGGAGUGGCGGAAUGGUAGACGCGCUAGACUCAAAAUCUUGUGUCCGCAAGGGCGUUCGGGUUCGAGUCCCGUCUCCGGCA